AUUGAACGCUGGCGGCAUGCCUUACACAUGCAAGUCGAACGGCAGCGGACCUUCGGGUGCCGGCGAGUGGCGAACGGGUGAGUAAUAUAUCGGAACGUACCUUUCAGUGGGGGAUAACGUAGCGAAAGUUACGCUAAUACCGCAUAUUCUGUGAGCAGGAAAGCAGGGGAUCGCAAGACCUUGCGCUGAUUGAGCGGCUGAUAUCAGAUUAGCUAGUUGGUGAGGUAAAGGCUCACCAAGGCGACGAUCUGUAGCGGGUCUGAGAGGAUGAUCCGCCACACUGGAACUGAGACACGGUCCAGACUCCUACGGGAGGCAGCAGUGGGGAAUUUUGGACAAUGGGCGCAAGCCUGAUCCAGCCAUGCCGCGUGAGUGAAGAAGGCCUCGG
rnacentral:rRNA from 1 species